rnacentral:lncRNA from 1 species
AAGAAACAAGGACCAGGGGUCACAAAUGGAGAUUAGAUAAAGGGGCAUUCAGAACAGAAAAUAGGAGGCACUUUUUUACACAGAGAAUUGUGAGGGUCCCCCCCCCCCCCCCCCCCCCCCCCCCCCCCCCCCCCCCCCCCCCCCCCCCCCCCCCCCCCCCCCCCCCCCCCCCCCCCCCCCCCCCCCCCCCCCCCCCCCCCCCCCCCCCCCCCCCCCCCCCCCCCCCCCCCCCCCCCCCCCCCCCCCCCCCCCCCCCCCCCCCCCCCCCCCCCCCCCCCCCCCCCCCCCCCCCCCCCCCCCCCCCCCCCCCCCCCCCCCCCCCCCCCCCCCCCCCCCCCCCCCCCCCCCCCCCCCCCCCCCCCCCCCCCCCCCCCCCCCCCCCCCCCCCCCCCCCCCCCCCCCCCCCCCCCCCCCCCCCCCCCCCCCCCCCCCCCCCCCCCCCCCCCCCCCCCCCCCCCCCCCCCCCCCCCCCCCCCCCCCCCCCCCCCCCCCCCCCCCCCCCCCCCCCCCCCCCCCCCCCCCCCCCCCCCCCCCCCCCCCCCCCCCCCCCCCCCCCCCCCCCCCCCCCCCCCCCCCCCCCCCCCCCCCCCCCCCCCCCCCCCCCCCCCCCCCCCCCCCCCCCCCCCCCCCCCCCCCCCCCCCCCCCCCCCCCCCCCCCCCCCCCCCCCCCCCCCCCCCCCCCCCCCCCCCCCCCCCCCCCCCCCCCCCCCCCCCCCCCCCCCCCCCCCCCCCCCCCCCCCCCCCCCCCCCCCCCCCCCCCCCCCCCCCCCCCCCCCCCCCCCCCCCCCCCCCCCCCCCCCCCCCCCCCCCCCCCCCCCCCCCCCCCCCCCCCCCCCCCCCCCCCCCCCCCCCCCCCCCCCCCCCCCCCCCCCCCCCCCCCCCCCCCCCCCCCCCCCCCCCCCCCCCCCCCCCCCCCCCCCCCCCCCCCCCCCCCCCCCCCCCCCCCCCCCCCCCCCCCCCCCCCCCCCCCCCCCCCCCCCCCCCCCCCCCCCCCCCCCCCCCCCCCCCCCCCCCCCCCCCCCCCCCCCCCCCCCCCCCCCCCCCCCCCCCCCCCCCCCCCCCCCCCCCCCCCCCCCCCCCCCCCCCCCCCCCCCCCCCCCCCCCCCCCCCCCCCCCCCCCCCCCCAUUUCUAAUAUUGCUGUUCUAGUCUGUUUUUUAUCCACAUUCCCUUGAAAUCUACACUUCACUUCAAUUGAUUUCUGAC